rnacentral:tRNA from 1 species
GAGGGUAUAGCUCAGUGGUAGAGUGCAUGCCUAGCAUGCAUGAGGUCCUGGGUUCAAUCCCGAGUGCCUCUA